rnacentral:lncRNA from 1 species
UCUGAAGUAGCAAAGAAAAUUUUAUGGUUGGGGGUCAGCACAACAUGAGUAACUGAAUUAAAGGGCCACAGCUUUAGGAAGUUGAAAACUGUCUUAGAACCUAGGACAUGACAGCUCAAAAAGCUUCAUCAGCCAAUCACCUGCCCUGGCCACUCCCUCCCUGGAGCCUCUGCUGCACCUCUGAGGCUAGCUGUGGAUGUGCUUCCCGAUCCCUUAAGCCUGUCCUGUGCAUGGUAGCAUGGCUUUUGGAUCCCCAUAUCUGCCCGACUAAUUCCACCCCACUCUCCUCAGGUGACAAACCGAUACUUGUCACAGCUGAAGGAUGCACACAGGACCCACCCCUUCAUCAAGGAGUACCAGGCCAAGGAGAACGAUUUCGAUCGCCUGGCACUGCAGUACGCACCCAGCGCCUAAGGUGGAGAUGCCGUGGUGACCCCACUGUGUGCUGCAGGAUGCUGUCCUCUCUUCCUUGUCUGCCAAUAAAGUCUGCUCAUGGUC